rnacentral:lncRNA from 1 species
GCAACCUGUAUUGAUGUCACAAGCUCAGGCUUCUGACUUCAUUGCAUAAUGCAGUAGCAACUGGAUUUGCAGCAGAAACACCCUGCUAAAGAACAAGUAUCUUGGUUCACAGCAAAGAGGACAAAGGAAAACAGCAAGUUCUAGGGAGUUGAAUGCUGGAUUAUGCUACUGUUGCUGGGGAAAUGUCACUGUUAGAGAAUAGAAAACCAUUAUUCCGAAGAGUAUGGAAGACUGACUGAAUCAGGUCUGGAACAUUAUUGAAAUGGUAAGAUAAACUGGAGUCCUCUCUGAUCAAAGAAAAAUUCUUUUUUUAAAAAAAAAA